rnacentral:lncRNA from 10 species
AGAGCCAGGCAGGCGCUCUCUCGAGCGCGGGGACUGGGCACCUGGCAGCGUUGCCCCAGAGCUGGGGACAGCUGGCGCGGGAGAAGCAGAAGCAAUCACUAAAGAAGCCGAACCCGAGUCGCGGGCGGCAAGCGGCCCCGCCCCUCCCUCCGCCGGCCCGCGGGAUGGGGGCGGAGGUGGCGGCGGGGGGACGCCGGGGCGGAGCCGGCCUCCAGCUUCGGGAACCUCGGACCCCUGGAGCCGGCCUCCGCCGAGGGCGUCGGGCCCCCGGACCUGGGUGGGGCCGGUUUCUCCCGCCGCUUCAGAGGAGCAGAGCGGGUUUUCUCCCUUCGGGGGAUCCCGGGCUUCGGGGCUGACUCCACCCGGCCGCGGCCGCUUGGAGGCCGGGGAAUCCCCGGGGCGCUUGGCGGGCAGAGGAGCCGGGCGCGGGAGCGGAGCCGUCCACCUGGGACCUGUGCCCGGGGAGCGCUGCGGGCCGGGCCACUCUGAACUGGGGGCGGUCGGCUGCUGUGGGGGAGUCCCAGCCCGGAAGGGAGGACAAUCCUCAGAGUCCCCCGUCUCGCGGAACCGGGGCCGGCCGUGGCUUGAGGGUUGGUCAGAUCCUGGGAUGGGGGGCGGGGUGUUCCGGAACCUCAGGGAGCAUCUGAGUGGGAACGGACGACGAGGAACUCCCCGUCCCCAUGCCUGGCCUGUGUCACGUGCGGGGAUCUGCGGACUCACCCCCGGAGGCUGCGACUGGGCGCUGACCCCACGUCUGGCUGCCCAAAAGAGCAGGGCCGCGGGCGACAGCCGCAGUCCAGGCCCACAGCCCCUCUGGCCCGGCCUUGCCCUCUCCCCGUCAGUCCUGGCGCCGGGGAUGGGCGGGGAGGAGGAGGGCGUGUGAGGAUUUGCCACAGGGAGCCCUUGACUUCGGGGUAGGAGGCGUCGUGAGCCAAUCUUGGGGGAAGGUCUCUGCGCAAAGGCGCGGAGGUGCGCUCGCGCCCGUCGCAGGUCAAAGACUGCGGAGGCCACCAGCCCUGUGUCCCCCUAGCCUCCUUCCUUCCUUUUUUUCCCCCGAUCUUGACAGCGUGUCCACCAGCUGCCAGCCGGUGGGAGGCCCUCGCGGCCCCAAGGUGAACACAGCUAGGCUGGCGCAGCCGCUGGGGACCAGGCUUGAGGCCCACGUGCCGCUGGGCAAGCUGAGGGGCACGAGGGCACCGAAU